CGGCGGUGCUGCGCGCGCGCACGUCCCGGACACACGCGCGCGCACGACCCGCUCCACGGCGCAUGCGCGGAGCUCCACUUGUUUACACGCUGCGCGACCACGCUCUCAUCAUCAGUUACUACAGCAGCACAGCACUAGCUGACAGUGACUGAGAAAAAGAGUGAUCUGUGAACGAGUGAAAUAUAGGUAUUUGUGGUACAGUUGUCGGUGCGGUUAUGAGUGUAGUGUGAGUUAAUUUUACUAGUGAUAGUGAAUAGUGGAUAGCUGAAAUUUGUGCUCAAGAGUAGGAUGUGAUUUGAAUGGAACUGAAUUCACAUGAAGACAAACAAUAUAGAAUCUGUAUUGAUAAGCUAUGAGAUUUCAUGAGAAGAGAAAAUCAGAUAGGCCCGCUCAGCAUGCCGGCUAGCUGAUGGCGCGGCGGCGGCGCGGGCUGGGCGCGCGGCUGCGGCGC